UAUUCUCAGAUGGUAUUUGAA
ensembl:piRNA 21ur-8904 ncRNA